UGGCGGACGGGUGAGUAACGCGUGGGUAACCUGCCCUGUACAGGGGGAGUAACAAUCAGAAAUGACUGCUAAUACCGCAUAAGACCACAGCACCGCAUGGUGCAGGGGUAAAAACUCCGGUGGUACAGGAUGGACCCGCGUCUGAUUAGCUGGUUGGUGAGGUAACGGCUCACCAAGGCGACGAUCAGUAGCCGGCUUGAGAGAGUGAACGGCCACAUUGGGACUGAGACACGGCCCAAACUCCUACGGGAGGCAGCAUG
rnacentral:rRNA from 1 species